rnacentral:rRNA from 1 species
UACAGGGGGUGCAAACGUUGCUCGGAAUCAUUGGGCGUAAAGCGCACGUAGGCGGUUACUUAAGUCGGAUGUGAAAGCCCUUGGCUCAACCGAGGAAGUGCAUCCGAAACUGAGUAGCUUGAGUACUAAAGAGGGUCGCGGAAUUCCCGGUGUAGAGGUGAAAUUCUUAGAUAUCGGGAGGAACACCGGUGGCGAAGGCGGCUCACUGCCCGUAACUGACGCUGAGGCACGAAAGCGUGGGGAGCAAACAGG